rnacentral:lncRNA from 1 species
CUGCAAUCAAUUGGAUUAUGCGUUUAUCUUUGCGAAUCGGUAGAGGUGCUGUCCAGGAAUUUUGUGAGUGGGUGAACAGCAGUAGUUAUAGGGAUUUAUGGGAAUUUUCGUGGGUUAAUUAGUGGGAAUCAGUGGAAUAAUCAUGUAGAGCUUUGUCAUACCUUUCCAACGAGUACUUAUGCGCUCGAUUCGGAGUUAUAAUUUAGGAGAUAUCAUUGUUUGAAUCCGGAUAUGUUGCUGUCCAAAAAAAAACAGAUUUUUCAGGUGGGUGAACAGCAGUAGUAUUAGCAGUUUCUGGGAAUUUGUUGUAUGUAAUUAUUGAUGACCAGUAUGAUAAUCAUGUAGGGCUUUGUCUUAUCUUUCCAAUGAGUACUUAUGCGCUUGAUUUGGAAUUAUAUUUUAAAAGAUAUCGCUGUUUGAAUCCGGGUAUGUCGCUGUCCAAAAGAGAAAAAAACAGAUUACAGGGUUUAUCUUGUGGACUGUUUUGGGCUAAUUAGAUGUUGGAAUUUUGUCACCACUGCUGUCAUAAUUUUAAAGUUAUGAAAUUAUUAAGCAGCGCCGCUGCAGUUUGGUGGGUGCGGGGAGAAUUGUUACCCGUGGCGGGGUUUGAGAUUGUGCGUAGGUGCGGCGUCGUUUAUGAGCCUUAUUAUGUGAAAUUGGUGCACUAAGUUGUGUGUCAAAAACAGGUGGUGGACUUCCGGAUCGUACUUAGGGAUUUGCCCAAACUUCCGGUGAAGUCAAGUAAAACAGUGAUGGUUAUUUCGUCUGUCCAAUGAAGAGUCUUAUACUUGAUUAUGUUUGUGUUAUUUGUGUUCGUAUUCAUAUUUCUAAUUGAGUAUCAUCGUUGGAAGAUAUUAAUGUUUUAUUGAUUACAUAUGUUGAGUUUGUGGGUUGAUCAUGUUACCCAUGUAGUCUAUUUAGUGGAAUGGUGUCACACCCGGAUUUUAGGGGUCCAAAACCCGGGCGCAAACAUAAUCACCAGGUGUGCUGGGACCAAGUCUCACACAUAUGAUGAAUCAUGGCACAGGAUCGAAUGUCACAUCUUUACUAUAUAAUAGGAGUUUUGUACAAAAUAAAUAAAUAAUUACAUUAUAAGGAGACAACGGUCCAGCAACCCAAAGUUGACUGGGAGACGACGGCCUAGACCUCUCACGAACACAUCGCAGCAUCCUCCAUGUGUCAUCCUACGGUACCUGUUCUUGACCUGUGGGGGGGGUGUGAGACAGCAAGAGUGAGCUCACAUACGUUCAUCGCUCAACAAGUUGUGGGGAAUAAAGUGCAUGAACUCGCCAAAGGUGGGAGCUCACGUGAAGUGUAAGGCUUACCAAAGAGGAUGGUUAGAGCUGAGCAUUGCUUUUAAAGUUGGUCAAAAUUUUAUUAGCAGUUACUAAGUAUAAGUAAAUACCAACCCAAUUAAGUAGUAGAGCAAAAGUAACAUCAUCACCUGCGAUGCAAUGCAUAUGACAAAUUGAAUUUAGUUCCAUAAAUUAAUCAUCAGAGAGUCCUGAGCUGCUCAUGACCGUGAGCUCGGCUAGUAUACCAGUUUUACACUCUGCAGAGGUGGUACCCUUUACCCACAAGUCAUGUUACCCGUCUGCCAAGGGAUCGCGACUUCCCAUACACCUCUACCGAGGAGGCGAGGCAGGGUAACACUACGAGGCCUUUACAAAGUUCCACUAGCUUCAGAAAACCCGCUACAGUUUAUAGGAAGCUCCAAUGCAGGAAUCCCUUGCAGGACCGCCAUCGCAGCAAAAUCCUCCCGAGGGCCUCCCUACACUGACCACUCCCCUACUGCCCUUGCCCCUUUCGGGUAAGGUAGUCCUCCACUAGCUUUCCUAAUUAAUCAGCCAAGGGCGUCCAUAAACCCUUGUGGUGGCACGUGUUUCUCAAGUUAAGCUCUAUGUUCCAAUUAACAUUUAAUGAUCUUGUCAUGAACAUAAAUAGAAUAACAACAUAAUUGGAACAUAGAUGUAAUGAAAUAUUAACCCAAAACCAUAUAAAGCAGUAGCAGAACUACCCAAGUGAUUCAGGGGUAAACAAGGUAUUCAGGAUGAACAAACUAGGGUGACCUAUUGGGUCCCAUCAAAAUUAACCUAUGCAGAUCAUUAUGAUUAAUCAGAACAUGAGUAGGUAAAAAGAAGUGAUCAAGGGCACAACUUGCCUGACACUUGAGAUUCCAGGUACCAACUUGCUCUUCGGAUGACACGUGUCCUCGCGCUAGUCGUAGCAAUACAAACAAAUAUGGUAUAGAUAAAACUAACAUCACACCAAGCAUAAGUACAAACUGAAUAAUAAUGAUCUACGCGUUUCUACGAGACUAACGCAACUUGAACGGAUCAAAUCAGAGUUAAAACGGGGAAGAUACGAAUUUCCUAAUGUUUUAUGUAUUUGAUAUGGAUUUAAUUAGGAAAUAAAUUUUAAGGUGGCUUUCGUGUCAAAUUAGUGGCACUAUUAGAUAAACAAUAAUAUUAUAAAAUUAUAGGAACUGGAAUGACUCAAUUUGGAAUUAGUAUGAAUUUUCUACGGAUUAAACAAAUUCUAGCCAUUAUUUUUAUAUUAAAAAUCCAUUUUCUAUUUAUUUCCCUGGAUUUUCUAUUUACUGGACUGGGCCUCAAUUACUGGUAAGUUCAGGGGCUAACCCGCAAGAUCUCCAAGACACAGCGCCAUCCGCGCUGGACCGCGGGUUGAAUCUCAAUAAACCCAGGGCCCAUAUGCAAAACAGACCCGACGAAGGGGUAUCAGCCAGAUCUGGCCGUCCGAUCCCCAACAGACGGUGCAGAUUAGAUUUGAAUUUUUCAGAAAGGGUAUGAAAUAUAAGGCCUUGGAUCCAGAUCUAACGGUCUGAGUUUUAUGAAAUCUAAUCCAGAUCCGAACCGCACGAUUGCGAUCCAACCGCCCGAAUUCCGCGGGGUGAAGGUGUACGCAGAAUUUAAUCCACUCCCUCCGUUUAGAAUCCUACGGCCCCGGCUUCUAUAACAUGUCUUCUAAUCCUAACCAGUCAUCGCGAGAUCAAGGGCUCUGCGUUCGUCUUCUUCCUUUCGUCAACCCGGCAGUAGUUGCAAGUGCCAGGAAACCCAGCAUGGUGAACGGUGAGCUAGCUACUCGUCGGUACGGGUCGACGUGCGAAUAUAACUCACGUACUGAGAAAGUAAUGGUGGUUUGCAGGGGAGUUAUCAUACCGUGUUUCACGGCGCAAGUACAGUCGUCUAGAAGUCUGCAGCACGACGGCGAUCCUUCAAUGUCGACAACGAAGCACUCGCACAAUCUUCAACGCUCGGCGAAGAGGCCCGGUCCGCUCCUCAUCGCACGCACAGGAAGUACCUGGACGUCCAGUGCGUGACUUGUCGAACACCCUCUCGGCAACAACACUCACGUUCUCUCUCUUCAUCCUUUGUUUCUCUCGGCGGCUGUGAAUAUGACGGCGCACGCCCGGUGCUUUUCUCCAGGGCGACCGAGACGGCAACUGCCAGGACCAAGAGAUUUAUGGGGGCGCGCAGGGCGGUAGCGCCGGAAAUCCGGUUCUCCGUUUUGGUCGGCGCCCACAUCCCGGAAAUACGCGUAUGCGUAUUCGCAGUGGCCCAGCCGUCAGGGACAGUGAAAGGUAUACGGAUGAGGUCACCUGUGACGCCCGGCCGACGUCACCCACGCAGGAAACUAUUCUUUAUUCGGCUGGAGCGGUCCUCGGCGGGAGAAUAGCUGCAGGAGGAAGCCACCUGGGCCGGCUGUUACGGGGAGGUGGUUACGGCAUGCAUGGAUUUGUUACGGGGAGGAAGACGCGGUUGACAUCAGAGCCUAUAAACUAGUUACCCGCGCAGAGCUUCGUACGUGAUUCUAUCGUCCACAUGUCGGUGACUACGUAGAAGUAGACGUGUGCAUGGAAAUACGGCUGCAUGUGUUGCUUGCUUGAUGUCACACUUGUGUCAUGCUGACCUCAUGUGCGGCAAGAGGAUUAAAUAAAAGAAAAGAAGAGAUGUGGGCUACGGAAUACCUUGGGCUGGGUGGGAGGUGAUCUGGCCCAAGCGCAGGAUUGCUCCUCUUUUUUUUCUAUUUUAAAUUUCUUGUUUUAGUUUCCUUCACAUUUUCAGAUUCCUAUUUCAAAUUCAAAAUUGAUUCAACUUCAAUUUUGCCAGUACAAAAGCUAAUACUAAUGUGACCUCUACCAUUUUCAGUAUUAUUAUUUAUUUUUUUCCUUGUUGUUUAUUUAGGGAAGGAAUAAAUAGCUUCAUUAAAUUCCCCUUUCUUAUUUUAUAUUUAUAUCUUCGUUUAUACUUUGAGGUCAAAAUUAUGUGUUUAAUAAAGUACCUCCCACAAAGUCAUCAGUAAGAGAUGCACUUUUCAUUAUUUAUUUAUUGGUUGCUUAAUUAAUUUAGUACCAUUAAUUGAUUAUGAGAAGAAAAUAUCCAAAUGUAUUUUCCAAGGGAUUCAACAAUUCUCAAAACACUAUGAUAAAUAUAUUUGUUUAUUUAUUUAUUUAUUUAUUUUAUACCCAAUUUUAGGGCCUUACAAAUCCUACCACCUUAAAAAUAAUCUCGUCCUCGAGAUUUGUACGGACAUGGAUGUAAAAGAAAACUUUUUUAUAGUUUAGCUUUUAACUUCUAAGAAGUGUCAUGUUAUUUAGAAAGUGGUUAUGAAAGCAUGGGUAUAUAUAUGUAUGGUCACCUUAUUGUGUAGGAUGAAAGAUAGGUUAGGGCAAGCAUAGCCUAGGGUGAGAAGGUUUAUAGUGGGAAAGAAUUCUGUGUUGAGUGGUAAAGCAUUAGAAGAUUGAGUUUGACUUCUCUCCUUCCUUGACGAGGUUGAUCUUUUCUUCUCCAGUCUUGGUCUCCUUGAUUCGAGGUUAGUGUAUAUCAUCGGAGUUGGGGCAUAUGGUCGAAGUAGUUAUGGGUGAGAUGGACUACAUGUUGUAGGUCAAAAUCUUGUUUGAUGUUUGGUAGGCACAGAUAGAUUAUGCAAUCCAUCAUGACUCUAUUGGUUGGGUUAGAUCUAUUAGGAUGACAUAAAAUCUUUUCAAGAUAAGAUGAAUCCUCUAAGGUAAUAGAGUAUAUUUUUAAGAUAAGAUGGAUCUAUUAAGCUUACUAUAUUUUAGUGGGGGAUAAUCUAAGUUGCCUAGUUUUUGUAUCAACAUUUUUUUAUUUACUAUAUGUAUAUAUAGAUGUAAUUGUGGACAUUACUCCACAACUCAUCGCACUCAAUCAAAGAUCCAAAUCAGACAAGCAUCAUAAGAACAAACAUUCAAGUUCAUAGAUAUCUAUAUAACAGAAAAUAAUUUUGUUUUUGUUCCUAAGAGUAGGUCACCUAUUCCUAAAGUCACUUUAAGAACAGGAUUUCAAAGUGUGAAACCCACAUUUGUCUUUAGAAUGAAAAGGUAAGAAUAAUCAGAGUGAAGCGGAAUUAGAUGAGAAAAGAUUAAGAUGAGUUUAGAAAGAGUCAGAGUAGCAGAGGUAAGGUUAAUCAGAGUAGAACAGUAGAAGGUGAAACAGGAUCAAGAUAAGUAUAGAAAGAAUCAGAGUAAGGUAAGUAGACAAUGGUUGUCCAUUUCUAUCUAGGUUUCGUCCUACAGUCAACAUUCCUCUGAUACCACUUCUGUCACACCCGGAUUUUAGGGGUCCAAAACCCGGGCGCGAACAUAAUCACCAGGUGUGCUGGGACCAAGUCUCACACAUAUGAUGAAUCAUGGCACAGGAUCGAAUGUCACAUCUUUACUAUAUAAUAGGAGUUUUGUACAAAAUAAAUAAAUAAUUACAUUAUAAGGAGACAACGGUCCAGCAACCCAAAGUUGACUGGGAGACGACGGCCUAGACCUCUCACGAACACAUCGCAGCAUCCUCCAUGUGUCAUCCUACGGUACCUGUUCUUGACCUGUGGGGGGGGUGUGAGACAGCAAGAGUGAGCUCACAUACGUUCAUCGCUCAACAAGUUGUGGGGAAUAAAGUGCAUGAACUCGCCAAAGGUGGGAGCUCACGUGAAGUGUAAGGCUUACCAAAGAGGAUGGUUAGAGCUGAGCAUUGCUUUUAAAGUUGGUCAAAAUUUUAUUAGCAGUUACUAAGUAUAAGUAAAUACCAACCCAAUUAAGUAGUAGAGCAAAAGUAACAUCAUCACCUGCGAUGCAAUGCAUAUGACAAAUUGAAUUUAGUUCCAUAAAUUAAUCAUCAGAGAGUCCUGAGCUGCUCAUGACCGUGAGCUCGGCUAGUAUACCAGUUUUACACUCUGCAGAGGUGGUACCCUUUACCCACAAGUCAUGUUACCCGUCUGCCAAGGGAUCGCGACUUCCCAUACACCUCUACCGAGGAGGCGAGGCAGGGUAACACUACGAGGCC